rnacentral:rRNA from 1 species
AUUGAACGCUGGCGGCAGGCCUAACACAUGCCAGUCGAGCGGAGCGGCGGACGGGUGAGUAAUGCCUAGGCAUCUGCCUGGUAGUGGGGGAUAACGUCCGGAAACGGGCGCUAAUACCGCCUACUCUCAGAUGAGCCUAGGUCGGAUUAGCUAGUUGGUGGGGUAAAGGCCUACCAAGGCGACGAUCCGUAACUGGUCUGAGAGGAUGAUCAGUCACACGGGAACUGAGACACGGUCCAGACUCAUACGGGAGGCAGCAGGGGGGAAUAUUGGACAAUGGGCGAAAGCCUGAGCCAGCCAGGCCGCGUGUGUGAAGAAGGUCUUCGGAUUGGAAAGCACUUUAAGUUGGGAGGCGUUACCAACAGAAUAAGCACCGGCUAACUUCGUGCCAGCAGCCGCGGUAAUUC